GUGCGCACUUUGGCAGCACAUACACUAAAACUGGAAUGAUGCGUAGAUUAGCAUGGCCCCUAUGCAAGGAAGACACACAAAUUGGUGAAGUGUUCCAUAUUUUU
ensembl:snRNA U6 U6 spliceosomal RNA